UAUUCACGACCCAAGCCCUUGGGUGCCUUUUUGCCUGUGCAACGUGAAAAAUCCUUCAAAAACUCCUGUUACCACUGGGCACAGCAGAACAAGGAUGUAUCUCAGAUGAUCCCUCCACACCCCAGGCUCUCUUCAGAUUUCUCCUGAUUCUGCUUUUGUGAGACAAUGAGAAAUGUACAUAUUGAUCUCUGCUCCCAGUUUCUGACAGAGAGCCCCUCUCAGGAUUCCCUGAACGAUACAGUAAGGAAGUCAUGCUGGACCCCCUGUCACUGCCUCACAUCAGUCGCACCAGGUCUUCCUGAUGCUGGAGCGGGACCAGCAGCAGCAGACCACACCCUGUGGGGCAGCCGGCUGCUGAGACCUCCCAGUCACCUCUGCCUUGCAGUUAUGCAGCGCCUUCCAUCCCUCAUCCCUUCCUUCCUUCCUGCAACACUUCCUGUGAGCCUCCUAGGGUUAUUGAGUUAUCCUGAGAACAAGCCCCAGCCUCCCCUUCAGAUGGUUCUCCAUGCUGGCCAGGGUAAGCUUCCUAACUGCUGUUCCUGGGAGCUCUCCAUGGGCCUCCUACUUGGAACCAAAUCCAAACUCCCAGUAAUUCAAGAGGCCCUGUGUGGUAGGGAUCCUGUUAGCCCCCAUCAUGCUUUCACCCUCCUUGUGUCUCAGGUUCAUGGGCACAUCCCUGCCUCAGGCCCUUUGCACUUGCUGCUCUCUCUGCCUGGAAUGUUCCAUGCCUAGAUGUCCAUGGCUUCCUCCCACUUCACACAGGCCUCUGAUCAGGUAUUACCAUUACAACACCGCAACUUUCUAUCCUUUGCCCACUUUGUCUCUGUCCAGAAAACACCGAUCCCUACCUCACAC
rnacentral:lncRNA from 1 species